rnacentral:tRNA from 3 species
GCCGAGGUAGCUCAGGGGUAGAGCAGCUGAUUCGUAAUCAGCAGGUCGUGGGUUCAAAUCCCAUUCUCGGCU